rnacentral:rRNA from 1 species
AACGAACGCUGGCGGCAUGCCUAACACAUGCAAGUCGAACGAGACCUUCGGGUCUAGUGGCGCACGGGUGCGUAACGCGUGGGAACCUGCCCUUAGGUUCGGAAUAACUCCCCGAAAGGGGUGCUAAUACCGGAUAAUGUCUUCGGACCAAAGAUUUAUCGCCUUUGGAUGGGCCCGCGUUGGAUUAGCUAGUUGGUAGGGUAAAAGCCUACCAAGGCGACGAUCCAUAGCUGGUCUGAGAGGAUGAUCAGCCACACUGGGACUGAGACACGGCCCAGACCGCUGCGGGGAGGAGGAGGGGGGAAUUAGGGAAGAAGGGGGAAAGGCUGAACCGACCAUGGGCGGGGGAGGGGGGAGGCCUUGGGGGUGGAAAAGCUUUUUUCCCGGGGAGGAAAAGGACGGUACGGGGAAAAAAGGCCCGGGCAAACCCGGUG